AUGAAAUUGGGAGAUGAAUGGAAAACAGCAUUCAAAACUAUGUUUGGAUUAUAUGAGUGGUUAGUCAUGCCUUUUGGGUCAACUAAUGCACCUAGUACUUUCAUGAGAUUAAUGAACGAAGUUUUACGUGCUUUCAUUGGACGAUUUGUGGUAGUCUAUUUUGAUGAUAUACUGAUUUAUAGCAGAUCUUUGGAGGAACAUUUAUGUGCUAUUUUUAUUGCUCUACGUGAUGCAUGUUUGUUUGGUAACCUUGGAAAGUGCACCUUUUGCACCGACCGAGUAUCUUUUCUUGGCUAUGUUGUUACUCCACAGGGAAUUGAAGUUGAUAAAGCCAAGAUUGAA
rnacentral:rRNA from 1 species